rnacentral:misc_RNA from 1 species
GAUGAAGAACGCAGCGAAAUGCGAUAAGUGAUGUGAAUUGCAGAAUUCAGUGAAUCAUCGAAUCUUUGAACGCACAUUGCGCCCGCCAGUAUUCUGGCGGGCAUGCCUGUUCGAGCGUCAUUACAACCCUCAGGCCCCCGGGCCUGGCGUUGGGGAUCGGCGGAAGCCCCCUGCGGGCACAACGCCGUCCCCCAAAUACAGUGGCGGUCCCGCCGCAGCUUCCAUUGCGUAGUAGCUAACACCUCGCAACUGGAGAGCGGCGCGGCCACGCCGUAAAACACCCAACUUCUGAAUGUUGACCUCGAAUCAGGUAGGAAUACCCGCUGAACUUAAGCAUAUCAAUAAGCGGAGGA